rnacentral:rRNA from 1 species
GAUGAACGCUGGCGGCGUGCCUAAUACAUGCAAGUCGAGCGAACAGACGAGGAGCUUGCUCCUUUGACGUUAGCGGCGGACGGGUGAGUAACACGUGGGUAACCUACCUAUAAGACUGGGAUAACUUCGGGAAACCGGAGCUAAUACCGGAUAAUAUUUCGAACCGCAUGGUUCGAUAGUGAAAGAUGGCUCUGCUAUCACUUAUAGAUGGACCUGCGCCGUAUUAGCUAGUUGGUAAGGUAACGGCUUACCAAGGCAACGAUACGUAGCCGACCUGAGAGGUGAACCGGCAACAUUGAAACGAGGACAGGUUCCAAACCCCUAGGGGAGGAAGCAGUGGGGAAUCUCCGCAAUGGGCGAAAGCCUGACGGAGCAACGCCGCGUGAGUGAUGAAGGUCUUCGGAUCGUAAAACUCUGUUAUUAGGGAAGAACAAACGUGUAAGUAACUGUGCACGUCUUGACGGUACCUAAUCAGAAAGCCACGGCUAACUACGUG